CACUCCAAAGCUCCGGUUUCCGUGCUGGGUGCUGGGGUGUUUGUGUUUCCGAUGCUUUACUCGGAGAAGGCUCAAUGGUUCCGCCCUAUGAAACCUGCGAAGAUGGAGAAGCCAAAUUGGGUUCGAGGCAGUUACGGGUGCAGUGGCUCAUAGCCAGAGAUGAACUGUGUGCCGUGAGACAACAGUGUUGAACGAGGCUUGCACUCAUCCUUGGGUGUACACACGGUUGGGUAUGUUCCACUGCUUGUGUUCUCUUCUGCUCUUCUGGCUUUUGUGUUUUAAAGUCAGGCAUUGCCACACAGCCCAUGGUACCCUGAGCCUACUUUGAUCCUCCUGCCUCAGCUCCCCCGAGUCCUGGAAUUACAGGUACGUUUUAUCCAUGGCUUCUAUUUCUUUUUACAAGAUGCUCUCUAAAUGAUGUCAUCACCCACCUCUCCUAUGUGCAGAGAGCUCCGGGCAUCUCUGAAGGAUGCAGAGCGGGGGGACCCUUGGACACUGCUUGCUUGAAGCCAAGGGAAGUUUGUGUGCACACACUCAGAGGAACCCAAGGGGGAAAAAAGACAGAGUGUGAACAAAUAGGAACAAGCAGGGAUGGGAAGAGAGGAGGAGAAAGAAAAGGAGGAGUAAGAAGGGCAAGAGGGAAGGCCUCUGAGAGGCCAAUCAGGACUCUUCUGCCCAUGGGUAGGUAGCCCCACUGGAUCUCCCAAGCCCAGACAAAGACAGUUUGGGCACCCUUCUGUUCAUCUCUACUAGGAAAGCCCUCUAAGGUUUCAGUGAUGGCGCUCUUUUAUAAGGUAGGAUGGUAAGGGAGGAGGGAGGCAAGGCCAUUCUGACUUUUGUCUAACAGACUUAUAAAUGAUCUCCUGCCUGAAAACUCUGGGCCAGAUACCCAGAUGUAGCU
rnacentral:sRNA from 1 species